rnacentral:rRNA from 1 species
GGCUGUGUUGAACUUCUAGCCCGACCCCCUUAUCGUGCCGGGAGACAGUGUCAGGCGGGCAGUUUGACUGGGGCGGUCGCCUCCCAAAAGGUAACGGAGGCGCCCAAAGGUUCCCGCAGAGUGGUUGGAAAUCAUUGGCAGAGUGUAAAGGCAGAAGGGAGCUUGACUGCGAGACCUACAAGUCGAGCAGGGACGAAAGUCGGGCUUAGUGAUCCGGUGGUUCCGCAUGGAAGGGCCAUCGCUCAACGGAUAAAAGCUACCCCGGGGAUAACAGGCUUAUCUCCCCCAAGAGUUCACAUCGACGGGGAGGUUUGGCACCUCGAUGUCGGCUCAUCGCAUCCUGGGGCUGUAGUCGGUCCCAA